GGUUAAGCGACUAAGCGUACACGGUGGAUGCCCUGGCAGUCAGAGGCGAUGAAGGACGUGCUAAUCUGCGAUAAGCGUCGGUAAGGUGAUAUGAACCGUUAUAACCGGCGAUUUCCGAAUGGGGAAACCCAGUGUGUUUCGACACACUAUCAUUAACUGAAUCCAUAGGUUAAUGAGGCGAACCGGGGGAACUGAAACAUCUAAGUACCCCGAGGAAAAGAAAUCAACCGAGAUUCCCCCAGUAGCGGCGAGCGAACGGGGAGGAGCCCAGAGCCUGAAUCAGUGUGUGUGUUAGUGGAAGCGUCUGGAAAGGCGCGCGAUACAGGGUGACAGCCCCGUACACAAAAAUGCACAUGCUGUGAGCUCGAUGAGUAGGGCGGGACACGUGGUAUCCUGUCUGAAUAUGGGGGGACCAUCCUCCAAGGCUAAAUACUCCUGACUGACCGAUAGUGAACCAGUACCGUGAGGGAAAGGCGAAAAGAACCCCGGCGAGGGGAGUGAAAAAGAACCUGAAACCGUGUACGUACAAGCAGUGGGAGCACGCUUAGGCGUGUGACUGCGUACCUUUUGUAUAAUGGGUCAGCGACUUAUAUUCUGUAGCAAGGUUAACCGAAUAGGGGAGCCGAAGGGAAACCGAGUCUUAACUGGGCGUUAAGUUGCAGGGUAUAGACCCGAAACCCGGUGAUCUAGCCAUGGGCAGGUUGAAGGUUGGGUAACACUAACUGGAGGACCGAACCGACUAAUGUUGAAAAAUUAGCGGAUGACUUGUGGCUGGGGGUGAAAGGCCAAUCAAACCGGGAGAUAGCUGGUUCUCCCCGAAAGCUAUUUAGGUAGCGCCUCGUGAAUUCAUCUCCGGGGGUAGAGCACUGUUUCGGCAAGGGGGUCAUCCCGACUUACCAACCCGAUGCAAACUGCGAAUACCGGAGAAUGUUAUCACGGGAGACACACGGCGGGUGCUAACGUCCGUCGUGAAGAGGGAAACAACCCAGACCGCCAGCUAAGGUCCCAAAGUCAUGGUUAAGUGGGAAACGAUGUGGGAAGGCCCAGACAGCCAGGAUGUUGGCUUAGAAGCAGCCAUCAUUUAAAGAAAGCGUAAUAGCUCACUGGUCGAGUCGGCCUGCGCGGAAGAUGUAACGGGGCUAAACCAUGCACCGAAGCUGCGGCAGCGACACUGUGUGUUGUUGGGUAGGGGAGCGUUCUGUAAGCCUGUGAAGGUGUACUGUGAGGUAUGCUGGAGGUAUCAGAAGUGCGAAUGCUGACAUAAGUAACGAUAAAGCGGGUGAAAAGCCCGCUCGCCGGAAGACCAAGGGUUCCUGUCCAACGUUAAUCGGGGCAGGGUGAGUCGACCCCUAAGGCGAGGCCGAAAGGCGUAGUCGAUGGGAAACAGGUUAAUAUUCCUGUACUUGGUGUUACUGCGAAGGGGGGACGGAGAAGGCUAUGUUGGCCGGGCGACGGUUGUCCCGGUUUAAGCGUGUAGGCUGGUUUUCCAGGCAAAUCCGGAAAAUCAAGGCUGAGGCGUGAUGACGAGGCACUACGGUGCUGAAGCAACAAAUGCCCUGCUUCCAGGAAAAGCCUCUAAGCAUCAGGUAACAUCAAAUCGUACCCCAAACCGACACAGGUGGUCAGGUAGAGAAUACCAAGGCGCUUGAGAGAACUCGGGUGAAGGAACUAGGCAAAAUGGUGCCGUAACUUCGGGAGAA
rnacentral:rRNA from 1 species